rnacentral:tRNA from 1 species
CUUGAAAACCGUCGAAGGGGAGACUCUUCCGUGAGUUCGAAUCUCACCGCCUCCGCCAU